UCGGGAAUUUUGGGCAAUGGGCGAAAGCCUGACCCAGCAACGCCGCGUGAAGGAUGAAGUAUUUCGGUAUGUAAACUUCGAAAGAAUAGGAAGAAUAAAUGACGGUACUAUUUAUAAGGUCCGGCUAACUACGUGCCAGCAGCCGCGGUAAGACGAGGGAUCCUAGCGUUGUUCGGAAUUAUUGGGCGUAAAGCGGGUGUAGGCGGACUUAUAAGUCAGGUGUGAAAUCCCAGGGCUCAACCCUGGAAGUGCACUUGAUACUGCAAGUCUUGAGUGUGGUAGAGGCUAUUAGAAUUCCUGGUGUAGUGGUGAAAUACGUAGAUAUCAGGAGGAAUACCGGAGGCGAAGGCGGAUAGCUGGGCCAACACUGACGCUGAGACCCGAAAGCGUGGGGAUCAAACAGGAUUAGAUACCCUAGUAGUCCCUGAGCGGGCUGGGCAAGGCG
rnacentral:rRNA from 1 species